GACGAACGCUGGCGGCGUGCCUAAUACAUGCAAGUUGAGCGAUGAAGCUUGGUGCUUGCACCAAUUUGAAGAGCAGCGAACGGGUGAGUAACGCGUGGGGAAUCUGCCUUUGAGCGGGGGACAACAUUUGGAAACGAAUGCUAAUACCGCAUAACAACUUUAAACAUAAGUUUUAAGUGUGAAAGAUGCAAUUGCAUCACUCAAAGAUGAUCCCGCGUUGUAUUAGCUAGUUGGUGAGGUAAAGGCUCACCCAGGCGAUGAUACAUAGCCGACCUGAGAGGGGGGUCCGCCACCUUGGGACUGAGACCAGGCCCCAACUCCUUCGGGGAGCAGCAGGAGGGGAUCUUCGGCCAUUGGCGGAAGUCUUGCCGGACCACGCCGCGUGAGUGAAGAAGGGUUUCGGAUCGUAAAACUCUGUUGGUAGAGAAGAACGUUGGUGAGAGUGGAAAGCUCAUCAAGUGACGGUAACUACCCAGAAAGCGACGGCUAACUACGUG
rnacentral:rRNA from 1 species